AACGAACGCUGGCGGCAUGCCUAACACAUGCAAGUCGAACGAGACCUUCGGGUCUAGUUGCGCACGGGUGCGUAACGCGUGGGAACCUGCCCUUAGGUUCGGAAUAACUCCCCGAAAGGGGUGCUAAUACCGGAUAAUGUCUUCGGACCAAAGAUUUAUCGCCUUUGGAUGGGCCCGCGUUGGAUUAGCUAGUUGGUAGGGUAAAAGCCUACCAAGGCGACGAUCCAUAGCUGGUCUGAGAGGAUGAUCAGCCACACUGGGACUGAGACACGGCCCAGACUCCUACGGGAGGCAGCAGUGGGGAAUAUUGGAAAAUGGGCGAAAGCCUGAUAAAGCAAUGCCGCGUGAGUGAUGAAGGCCUUAGGGUUGUAAAGCUCUUUUACCCGGGAUGAUAAUGACAGUACCGGGAGAAUAAGCUCCGGCUAACUCCGUG
rnacentral:rRNA from 1 species